rnacentral:rRNA from 1 species
AACGAACGCUGGCGGCGUGGAUAAGACAUGCAAGUCGAACGGGAUAACAUCUGUAGCAAUACAGGUGUUAUUUAGUGGCGAACGGGUGCGUAACACGUGGGCAAUCUGCCGAGAAGUGGGGGAUAGCUCGCCGAAAGGCGAAUUAAUACCGCAUAUGAUCAGUGAAGACAUCUUCACGACAUCAAAGCCGGGGCAACCUGGCGCUUCUUGAUGAGCCCGCGGCCUAUCAGCUAGUUGGUGAGGUAACGGCUCACCAAGGCUAUGACGGGUAGCUGGUCUGAGAGGACGACCAGUCACACUGGAACUGAGACACGGUCCAGAC